rnacentral:rRNA from 1 species
UACAGAGGGUGCGAGCGUUAAUCGGAAUUACUGGGCGUAAAGCGUGCGUAGACGGCUAUCUAAGUCGGGUGUGAAAGCCCCGGGCUCAACCUGGGAAUUGCAUUCGAGACUGAAUAGCUAGGGUACGGUAGAGGGAAGCGGAAUUUUCGGUGUAGCGGUGAAAUGCGUAGAUAUCGGAGGAACACCGAUGGCGAAGGCAAUCCCCUGGACCUGUACUGACGCUCAUGCACGAAAGCGUGGGGAGCAAACAGG